AUCCCAUGAUGAGGACAGGCGGCCACGUACUCCUGUAGACGUUCCCAUGCUUCCGGAAUGGAUUCAUCCCGCAUCUGCUGGUAGCUCGAAAUUCUCCCACGAAGGGC
rfam:Oryza rufipogon genomic scaffold, chr02